UCCACCAGCGGCUCUAACAUUGAAGGAGUUAAUUCACUGACUCCGCCCCAGAAUCACAGAUUCCCACUGAAGCGAAGCGACAGAAGCAAAGUCAUUUCAGGACUAUUUACUUUCCAUCUGUUUGAGGUGUUUACCACGCUUGUACCAGUUUGGUUGAGGAUGAAUCUCCAGUCGUCAGCCUAACCUCUCCUUUCCGAUCCCUCCAUGGAUUCUUCGAAGAUUCAAGCUCCAAAAAUGGUUAUAGACCUACACUGGCUGUCCUACUCAGAGACUGAAGACUAUCCGAUGCCGUAGAGGAGCAUAUUGGUGUCUCCGGCCAAACUUCACGAACAGCCCAACAACCUGAAGACAAUCUGUUAGUGAGUGGACAUCUCUCUGGUGGAGUGCAGAGAGGAACUGAUUCUUA